UACGUAGGGGGCAAGCGUUGUCCGGAAUCAUUGGGCGUAAAGAGCGCGUAGGCGGCCCUGUAAGUCCGCUGUGAAAGUCAAGGGCUCAACCCUGGGAUGCCGGUGGAUACUGUCGGGCUCGAGUCCGGAAGAGGCGAGUGGAAUUCCUGGUGUAGCGGUGAAAUGCGCAGAUAUCAGGAGGAACACCGAUGGCGAAGGCAGCUCGCUGGGACGUGACUGACGCUGAGACGCGAAAGCGUGGGGAGCAAACAGG
rnacentral:rRNA from 1 species